UACGUAGGGGGCUAGCGUUGUCCGGAAUCAUUGGGCGUAAAGAGCGCGCAGGCGGUCGUUCAAGUCGCGUGUGAAAGCCCCCGGCUCAACUGGGGAGGGUCACGCGAUACUGAUCGACUCGAAGGCAGGAGAGGGUAGUGGAAUUCCCGGUGUAGUGGUGAAAUGCGUAGAUAUUGGGAGGAACACCAGUGGCGAAGGCGGCUCACUGGACCGGAACUGACGCUGAGGCGCGAAAGCGUGGGGAGCGAACAGG
rnacentral:rRNA from 1 species